AGGAUUUCCCACUUCUAAACCUAAGUUGAUCUGUCUGCAAGGAACAAGGAAAAUGCCAGGGCUUCCAGAAUUAAGGGAAAUCCAGGAUAAGAAAGACUAAAACACUUGACCAAUGAAGAAAACCCCUAUGAAUGCAGUGAGUGUGAAAAGGCCUUCAGUUGGAAAUCUCAUCUUGUGUGACAUCCGAAAAUCCACCAUGGAAAAAAUUCUCUGAAUGUGGCAUGGAAUAGGGUCCCAUGAGAACCCAAGUUUUGUGGGGUGGACUUUUAGGUGUUCCAACACCAUCUGUUGAAGAGACUGUCCUUUUCCCAUUGAACGACCUUGGAACCCUUGUUCAAAAUCAAUUGACCACAUACACAAAGCUUUAUUUAUGCCUACUCUCCUAUUCCAUUGGUCUAUAUGUCUGUCUUUAUGCCAGAACCACACUGUUUCUGAUUACUGUUAGUAAGUUUUGAAAUUAGGAAGUUUGAAGCCUCCAACAUUGCUCAUUCUUUUCAGAACUGUUUUGAGUAUUUGGGGUCCUUUGAGAGUCCCUAUGACGUGUAGGAUUCAUUUUUCCUAUAUCUGAAAAAAAUGUCGUUAAGGAUCCUGACAGAUAUUACAUUAAAUCUAUAGAACGCUUUGGGUACUGUGACAUCUUAACACUACUAAGUCUCCCAAUACAUGAACACGGUAUGUCUUUCCGUUAAUUUAUGUCCUUUUAAAAUUUCUUCUGGCAUUUUUUUGUAGUUUUCAAUGCAUAAAACUUUCUUUUUAAUUUUUUAAUGUUUAUUUUUGAGGAAGAGAGAGAGAGAGA